GGCCUGUUAAGCUGAGUUGGUACAGCUUGCUCUUGCGAAGCCAUGGUUAUGGGUUCAAUUCCCACGAGGGGCCA